AUCAGAUUAGAAUACAAAGUUCCGCUGAUUAAGAAACAAAAAACAUCAAUCCAUGGUCAUGGGACUUGAGGCCUUCCCGGCUGGUGUUUACUCAUCUUACAUAAAAAAAAGAAAAAAAACUACGAAGUUCAUGAAGCGAUUAUCUAAGUCCCCUCUCUACACUAUCAUAGAGUAAUGGGGGGGAGAAGCAAAAUAGAUUUUAUAAAAACGUCUAAAGCUCAUCAUGGGAGUCAUCGUCAUCGUCACCGCCGUCCGAAGCACCAUCAGGAGAACCACCAGACCUCUGAUAAACUGCAGAGAUAAUGGGGUUGCAGACAGCCUCCACCUCCUUAAGCUUCUCAUCAUAGUCCUCCUUUUCAGCAGUCUGGUUGUCAUCAAGCCAUUCGAGGGCUUCCUUUAUAGCCUCCUCGAUCUUCUCCUUCUCCUCACUCUCAAUUUUGUCAGCAAGCUUGUCCUUCUCACCAAUGGUGUUCUUCAUGUUGUAGACAUACGUCUCAAGCUGGUUCCGGGCAUCAAUCUUCUCCUUUACCUUCUUGUCCUCCUCAGCAAAUUCCUCAGCCUCCCGAACCAUGCGGUCAAUCUCCUCCUGGCUGAGUCGGCCCUUCUCGUUGGUGAUGGUGAUCUUCUCCGCCUUGCCAGUGCCCUUGUCCUCCGCCUUCACAUUGAGGAUACCAUUGGCAUCCACCUCAAAGGUAACCUCAAUCUGAGGAGUGCCUCUGGGUGCUGGCGGGAUUCCAGAUAAAUCAAACUUCCCAAGCAUCCUGCAGUCCUUUGUGAGACUCCUCUCACCCUCAAAUACCUGAAUGGAAACAACAGUCUGUUGAUCUUGGUAAGUGGUGAAGACUUGGGACUUCUUAGUUGGGAUGACAGUGUUCCUUGGAAUCAACUUG
rnacentral:misc_RNA from 1 species